rnacentral:rRNA from 1 species
GCUGGCGGCGAACGGCUCAGUAACACGUAGUCAACCUGCCCUCGGGACGAGAACAAUCUCGGGAAACUGAGGCUAAUUCUCGAUAGGUCAAGAUUCCUGGAAUGGGUCUUGGUCUAAAGGCGGCGACGGCAUCUUGUCGCUAUCGCCCAAGGAUGGGACCGCGGCCGAUCAGGCUGUUGGUGGGGUAAAGGCCCACCAAACCAGUAACCGGUACGGGCUUUGAGAGAAGGAGCCGGGAGAUGGACACUGAGACAAGGGUCCAGGUCCUACGGGGCGCAGCAGGCGCGAAACCUUCGCAAUGCGCGCAAGCGCGACGAGGUUAUUCCGAGUGAUCUCCGCUGAGGAGAUCUUUUCUCAGAUCUAAAAAGUCUGGGGAAUAAGGGGAGGGCAAGUCUGGUGUCAGCCGCCGCGGUAAUACCAGCUCCUCGAGUGGUCAGGGCGUUUAUUGGGCCUAAAGCAUCCGUAGCCGGCUCAGUUGGUCUCCUGUUAAAUCCAACGGCUCAACCGUUGGUCUGCAGGAGAUACCGCUGGGCUAGGAGGCGGGAGAGGCGGACGGUACUCCGAGGGUAGGGGUAAAAUCCUUUGAUCCCCGGAAGACCACCAGUGGCGAAGGCGGUCCGCCAGAACGCGCUCGACGGUGAGGGAUGAAAGCUGGGGGAGCGAACCGGAUUAGAUACCCGGGUAGUCCCAGCCGUAAACGAUGCGAGCUAGGUGACACGACGCCUUCGGGGCAUCGUGGUGCCGCAGGGAAGCCGUUAAGCUCGCCGCCUGGGGAGU